rnacentral:rRNA from 1 species
GAAGGUGUGCUGUGAGGCAUGCUGGAGGUAUCAGAAGUGCGAAUGCUGACAUAAGUAACGAUAAAGCGGGUGAAAAGCCCGCUCGCCGGAAGACCAAGGGUUCCUGUCCAACGUUAAUCGGGGCAGGGUGAGUCGACCCCUAAGGCGAGGCCGAAAGGCGUAGUCGAUGGGAAACAGGUUAAUAUUCCUGUACUUGGUGUUACUGCGAAGGGGGGACGGAGAAGGCUAUGUCAGCCGGGCGACGGUCGUCCCGGUUUAAGCGUGUAGGCUGACUUUCCAGGCAAAUCCGGAAAGUUAAGGCUGAGGCGUGAUGACGAGGCACCACGGUGCUGAAGUGACAAAUGCCCUGCUUCCAGGAAAAGCCUCUAAGCAUCAGGUAACAUCAAAUCGUACCCCAAACCGACACAGGUGGUCAGGUAGAGAAUACCAAGGCGCUUGAGAGAACUCGGGUGAAGGAACUAGGCAAAAUGGUGCCGUAACUUCGGGAGAAGGCACGCUGACAUGUAGGUGAAGCCCCUGCGGGUGGAGCUGAAGUCAGUCGAAGAUACCAGCUGGCUGCAACUGUUUAUUAAAAACACAGCACUGUGCAAACACGAAAGUGGACGUAUACGGUGUGACGCCUGCCCGGUGCCGGAAGGUUAAUUGAUGGGGUUAUCGCAAGAGAAGCUCCUGAUCGAAGCCCCGGUAAACGGCGGCCGUAACUAUAACGGUCCUAAGGUAGCGAAAUUCCUUGUCGGGUAAGUUCCGACCUGCACGAAUGGCGUAAUGAUGGCCAGGCUGUCUCCACCCGAGACUCAGUGAAAUUGAACUCGCUGUGAAGAUGCAGUGUACCCGCGGCAAGACGGAAAGACCCCGUGAACCUUUACUACAGCUUGACACUGAACAUUGAGCCUUGAUGUGUAGGAUAGGUGGGAGGCUUUGAAGCGUGGACGCCAGUCUGCGUGGAGCCGACCUUGAAAUACCACCCUUUAAUGUUUGAUGUUCUAACCUGGCGCCGUGAUCCGGCGUGGGGACAGUGUCUGGUGGGUAGUUUGACUGGGGCGGUCUCCUCCCAAAGUGUAACGGAGGAGCACGAAGGUCAGCUAAUCCUGGUCGGACAUCAGGAGGUUAGUGCAAUGGCAUAAGCUGGCUUGACUGCGAGAGUGACGGCUCGAGCAGGUGCGAAAGCAGGUCAUAGUGAUCCGGUGGUUCUGUAUGGAAGGGCCAUCGCUCAACGGAUAAAAGGUACUCCGGGGAUAACAGGCUGAUACCGCCCAAGAGUUCAUAUCGACGGCGGUGUUUGGCACCUCGAUGUCGGCUCAUCACAUCCUGGGGCUGAAGUAGGUCCCAAGGGUAUGGCUGUUCGCCAUUUAAAGUGGUACGCGAGCUGGGUUUAGAACGUCGUGAGACAGUUCGGUCCCUAUCUGCCGUGGGCGCUGGAGAAUUGAGGGGGGCUGCUCCCAGUACGAGAGGACCGGAGUGGACGCAUCACUGGUGUUCGGGUUGUCAUGCCAAUGGCACUGCCCGGUAGCUAAAUGCGGAAGAGAUAAGUGCUGAAAGCAUCUAAGCACGAAACUUGCCCCGAGAUGAGUUCUCCCUGAGACUAUAAGUCUCCUGAAGGAACGUUGAAGACGACGACGUUGAUAGGCCGGGUGUGUAAGCGCAGCGAUGCGUUGAGCUAACCGGUACUAAUGAACCGUGAGGCUUAACCUU